UACAGAGGUCUCAAGCGUUGUUCGGAUUCAUUGGGCGUAAAGGGUGCGUAGGCGGUUCUGAAAGUCUGAUGUGAAAUCUCCAGGCCCAACCUGGAAACUGCAUUAGAAACUACAGGGCUAGAGGCUUGGAGGGGGAACUGGAAUUCUCGGUGUAGCAGUGAAAUGCGUAGAGAUCGAGAGGAACACCAGUGGCGAAGGCGAGUUCCUGGACAAGUCCUGACGCUGAGGCACGAAAGCCAGGGGAGCAAACAGG
rnacentral:rRNA from 1 species